UACGGAGGGUGCGAGCGUUAAUCGGAAUAACUGGGCGUAAAGGGCACGCAGGCGGCUAUUUAAGUGAGGUGUGAAAUCCCCGGGCUUAACCUGGGAAUUGCAUUUCAGACUGGGUAGCUAGAGUACUUUAGGGAGGGGUAGAAUUCCACGUGUAGCGGUGAAAUGCGUAGAGAUGUGGAGGAAUACCGAAGGCGAAGGCAGCCCCUUGGGAAUGUACUGACGCUCAUGUGCGAAAGCGUGGGGAGCAAAC
rnacentral:rRNA from 1 species